rnacentral:rRNA from 1 species
UACGUAGGGUGCAAGCGUUGUCCGGAAUUAUUGGGCGUAAAGAGCUCGUAGGCGGUCUGUCGCGUCGGCUGUGAAAACUCGGGGCUCAACCCCGAGCUUGCAGUCGAUACGGGCAGGCUAGAGUUCGGCAGGAGAGUGGAAUUCCUGGUGUAGCGGUGAAAUGCGCAGAUAUCAGGAAGAACACCCGUGGCGAAGGCGGCUCUCUGGAACGCAACUGACGCUGAGACGCGAAAGCGUGGGGAGCAAACAGG